GACGAACGCUGGCGGCGUGCUUAACACAUGCAAGUCGUACGGUAAGGCCCUUUCGGGGGUACACGAGUGGCGAACGGGUGAGUAACACGUGAGUAACCUGCCCACAACUUUGGGAUAACGCUAGGAAACUGGUGCUAAUACUGGAUAUGUGCUCCUGCUGCAUGGUGGGGGUUGGAAAGCUCCGGCGGUUGUGGAUGGACUCGCGGCCUAUCAGCUUGUUGGUGGGGUAGUGGCCUACCAAGGCGGCGACGGGUAGCCGGCCUGAGAGGGUGACCGGCCACAGUGGGACUGAGAUACGGCCGAGGCUCCGACGGGAGGCAGCAGUGGGGAAUAUUGCACAAGGGGCGCAAGCCUGAUGCAGCAAGGCCGCGUGCGGGAUAACGGCCUUCGGGUUGGAAACCGCUUUCAGCAGGGACGAAGCUUUUUGUGACGGUACCUGCAGAAGAAGCACCGGCUAACUACGUG
rnacentral:rRNA from 1 species